AGACAUCAGUUUCAUCUUCCUGAAAGGAAGGAGGGAGAAAAACAAGAGGACCAUGGUCACAGCCGUCCUUGAAAGCAACAAGAUUUCUGGCCUUUUCAUUCAUUCUUCACCACUUAUCUCCUGAGUGCCUACUACAUGCCUGGCACUGUUCUAGGCAUGAGGCAUCCAGCCAAGAAUAUACCAAAGGAGCCCCACCCUAGUUAUGCUAACUGCUUAAUUUAUUUGGUCUGCUCGACGGCUCAGCCUAUGCCCACCACUGCUACAUCUGCUGAGAAUAGCUGAGGCACACUUAGCCACACAAGGCUAAACCUUGCUGCUGCUGAGAGCUCAGGAUUCAACCCUACAGCAAGCUUGCAAACUCCACACAUGCGUAGUGGAUGUCUACAUAGCAAGUCCACUCUGGCCAGAGUUCAAA